GCCAAGGGGGAAGGAGCCCUGUUGGAAUGAGCCAAAGAGAAGGGGCCAUACUGCAGACAUAGGAUGAAGGAGAUCACAUAAAGGAGGAAGCAUAACUUUUAGAACAUGCUGUGGAUAGUCUCAAAUCCUUGCCUAGCUUACCCUGAAACAGCCAUCAAACAUAUGGUGCUAUGCAGAUGGAUCGUGAAGCUGCUCUUGUCUGGAAUGCAGAUCCUUUCAGUUUUUAUACAUGUUUAUCCACUCUGAAAAUCCCAGCAGGAUAGAAUGAUCAAAACAAACUGAAGAUAUGAGACAUCCACUGCAUGACCACCCGUCAGCACACAAAUUACUGAAGUCAUGCAGGAGCUCCCUCACCAACACCCAACCUCCUCAUACCACACCCAAGGAGACAUAACUAUAGAUGUGGAAUGAGAGGAUGAAAAAAAUACCUGACAGCAAAAUAAUGUUAUUCUAGUGGCUGAGUCCUUACCACCAGGUGCUGAUGAACCAUGGCAAAGGUGGCAAUGUCCCAACCACCUGUGUACCAGAAUUGGACUCUCCAAGGGACUAAUGAAGAAUUGGGACUAUACCAUUGGUUCAAGCACCUGUGGCAUAGAGCAUCAGACUAUGCAACACCUUCUGCAACACCUGCUACUUGAAGGCACAUAUACAAUGAAAGAUCUCAGAGAGUACAAUAAAUGGGCACAAGCAGAGAUAACAAAAUGGUUAAAUGUGGUGUAGAGACACAAGAAGAAGGAAAUCCCCACUGACUAUGGACUGAAUAUAAAGGAGAUAUUGUGCAAAAGAUCCAAAAGAUCCACAAAUCAGUGUUUCAACAUAUGGUGAGUAAACAUAGAGAAUUUCUCCAGCCUGAACAAAAACGUCCCACAUAGCAAUAUUUACUAUUUUUUAAUCUUCGCUGCCAUUAAUUCUUCACAUUAAUAGCAUUUUUACUAAACCUGCUCAGGUUGGAGGCUCAGGAUUUAAUCCCUGAAAUUAUUAAUUCAGUCAGGAAAACAUUUGUGGCAAAGGACUGUGUAAAAGUUUGUUCAUUAUGGUCAUCAUAUAAAGUUUGGUAAAGCUUUUUGAACAAUAUACAGCAAAUGGAACUUAUGUAGAGAGGGAUUUUAGGCACAUAGUGAACUGUAGUGUUAAAGCAUCAGCACUAUUUUCUGGCAUUUGUUUAGCAAUGACUUUUGUAGCUGCUGUCCUGGGGUACACUACAAUAUUUAAUUGUGGCAGAAGUUUGUUUUAAUACCUCAUAGCAGAAUAACUAACCUUGUAGCACCGU